GUCUAUGGCCAUACCACCCUGAACGCACCCGAUCUUGUCUGAUCUCGGAAGGGCCUGGGUUAGUACUUGGAUGGGAGACUGCCUGGGAAUACUGGGUGCUGUAGGAU
rnacentral:rRNA from 1 species